CCUACGUGUGACUGCAGUGGGGAAUAUUGGGCAAUGGGCGAAAGCCUGACCCAGCAACGCCGCGUGAAGGAAGAAGGCUUUCGGGUUGUAAACUUCUUUUGCCGGGGAAGAGCAGAAGAUGGUACCUGUCCACUAAGCUACGGCUAACUCCGUGCCGGCAGCCGCGGUAAUACGUAGGUGGCAAGCGUUGUCCGGAUUAACUGGGAGUAAAGGGCGUGUAGCCGGGCUGACAAGUCAGAUGUGAACUCCCCGGGCUCAACCCUCGAACUGCAUUUGAAACUGUUUGGCUUGAGUAUCGGAGAGGCAGGUGGAAUUCCUGGUGUAGCGGUGAAAUGCGUAGAGAUUAGGAGGAACACCAGUGGCGAAGGCGGCCUCCUGGACGACGACUGACGGUGAGGUGCGAAAGCGUGGGGAGCAAACAGGAUUAGAUACCCGGGUAGUC
rnacentral:rRNA from 1 species